rnacentral:rRNA from 1 species
CCUCGGAGGCAGCAGUGGGGAAUAUUGGACAAUGGGCGAAAGCCUGAUCCAGCCAUGCCGCGUGUGUGAAGAAGGCCUUCGGGUUGUAAAGCACUUUCAGUGGGGAAGAAAGCCUUGGGGCUAAUACCCUCGAGGAAGGACAUCACCCACAGAAGAAGCACCGGCUAACUCCGUGCCAGCAGCCGCGGUAAUACGGAGGGUGCGAGCGUUAAUCGGAAUUACUGGGCGUAAAGCGCGCGUAGGCGGUCUGAUAAGCCGGUUGUGGAAGCCCCGGGCUCAACCUGGGAACGGCAUCCGGAACUGUCAGGCUAGAGUGCAGGAGAGGAAGGUAGAAUUCCCGGUGUAGCGGUGAAAUGCGUAGAGAUCGGGAGGAAUACCAGUGGCGAAGGCGGCCUUCUGGACUGACACUGACGCUGAGGUGCGAAAGCGUGGGUAGCAAACAGGAUUAGAUACCCUUGUAGUC